ensembl:lncRNA
GCUGCGGCAAGCUUGACCUGCAGCGAGGACACCAGGAUUUCUCAAUUUCUCCAAAUCCAAGCCCGAGCCCGAGCUCUGAUGGGCCCUGGCACUGCUUCCCGCCACCUGCCUUCUCCUCCAGCUCGCGCCCUGAGUGACCACGGCCCCAGCCUCCGCCCCUCGACGCCGUCUCCAGGGCGCUGGACGCCAGGCGGGCAGCGGGCUCGGGAUGCGGAGAGUGAGCGCGAUUUCAGGGCAAGUUACUGUUUUCAGAAUCCAAGUGAAAUCUAACACUAUAAAACAAUGCCAAGAGCAAACGAAGGAAAGCAAAGAUCUGAAGGGGCACCCUGCCCAUCGUUUUGAUUCUUCAAGUUUCUGAAAACGUAUGAGAAGCACUGUGUGCAGUCUCAGCCAUCCAUGUGUCCAGCUGUCAAAAGGGACCUGAAAAGCAGCAUUGACAGUGACCAGGUGCUCAGGAAGUUUAUGCUUGUAAGACCUGAUGACUCCCCACCAAGAAUCCCACCAGUUUCCCUGGAACCUUUGCUCACAAUUCAAGAUGAGUGUUACACACUGGAGAAAGAGAUCUGCAUCUGUGGCCUUCAACUGAGCGACUCAGAGAUUGCCAGACUUGAAGUGACCCGGCUAUGGGCCCUCUGCACAGGAAACUGUGGGAACUUGGGCUGGGCUCAUGUGUUGACUCCAAUCCAGAUGCUUCCAUCUGAGGAGCUCCUAGUUGCUGAAUCUGCACAGUCCAGUUCUCAGUGGACCUCCAACUCCUAAUCAUAUUUAGGGCUAUGGCCGGGCGAGGUGUAAGUGCUCCAAGGGACAUGGAUGAAUCUGGAGAACGUCAUCCUCAGCAAACUGACACAAGAACAGAAAAUGAAACACCGCAUAUUCUCACUCAUAGGCGGGUGAUGAAAAAUGAGAACACAUGGACACAGAAAGGGGAGUACUAAACACUGGGGUCUAUUGGGGGGAAAGGGGGAGAGCCAGGGGGAGGGGGAGGUGGGGAGGGUUAGCCUGGGGAGAAAUGCCAAAUGUGGGUGAAGGGGAGAAGGAAAGCAAAGCACACUGCCAUGUGUGUACCUACGCAACUGUCUUGCAUGCUCUGCUCAUGUACCCCAAAACCUAAAAUCCAAUAAAAAAAAAAAAAGAUUCUAUUUGAUCCACUAAAGGGAAUAAUAUAACAGAUUUUAUGUUUAAAUGUUACUAUUUGCCAUAUUCCAAAAAUCUCUUUUGAAAAUUCAAAAGUGAUGAUGAAAAACUUAGAUACCAACCUAAGAAUGUGCAAGAUGGUACAUAAACUUUUUAAUAUUCCUCUAGGAUGUUAUAAGAGCAAAAAUGUUUGCGACCACUGCUCUGUGAGGCUGAAUGUUUGAUCUCCUGUUCUGUGAGCUACGCCCAGGCCUCCUGGUAACUCUUCCUUCUGGUCAGAGUCAGGCACAGUGGCUUUCAGCUGAUGACAACCAAAGAGCCCACAUGCCUUAGGACCCAGUGACAAGUUUGUUUUCUUAAUCUUAAUUACUUGUUAUGCUGCAUAAAUACAAUUUUAUUUGUUUUUUUUUUCUUUGUUUGUUUGAGACAGAGUCUCAUUUUUCACCCAAGCUGGAGUGCAGUGGGGCAAUCUCAGCUUACUGCAACCUCUACCUCCCGGGUUCAAGUGAUUCUCCAGCCUCAGCCUCCCAAGUAGCUGGGAUUAUAGGCAUGUGCCAUCGUGCCUGGCUAAUGUUUAUGUUUUUUAGUGGAGACGGGCUUUUGCCAUGUUAGGCUGGCUGGUCUUGAACUCAUGACCUCAAGUGAUCCGCCCGUCUCAGCCUCCCAAAGUGCUGAGAUUACAGGCUUAAGCCACUGUGCUCAGCCUAAAAUACUUUUUAAUAUAAGAUUUUGCAGAAUAAGUAGAAUUGAAAUCUAAGCAUAAUGUCCAUUUUUACAUUAUUCCCUUUUCUUCUUGUGGGCAGGAAAGGGUGAGAGUGGGCAGGAAAGGGUGAGGGUGGGCAGGAAAGGGUGAGGGUGGGCAGGAAAGGGUGAGGGUGGGCAGGGAGGCCUGUCGGGUGACCAUUGUCCUCUAGGAGAGAGCUGUCCACCCAGGUGAGAUGAAGGCAUUAGCAGGGAAGGCAGUGAGAAGCAGUCAGACUCUGCAUUAUCCCGCUUCCUAACGGAUUGGAUGUAGGGUACAAGGGAAAGGAAGAGUCUAGAAUGACUCCAGAGUGAUACAUUAUAAUAUGUAGCUUUAAACAUGCCAACAAAGGGUUCCUCCCUGCUACAUUCUUUCUAAUUCCAGGGCUUUGGGGUCACUUUUAAAGAAGGCAGCUUUGGAAUGUAAAGAAGUAACACAAGGCUGGCAGGAUGGUUCCUGGGCUCUAAUUGGUUGCAUGUUCAUCCUGAGACUUUAAGGAAAGAAACACAAAAGCCACAGGACCGAGCUGGCUGUGGUGGCUCACACCCGUAAUCCCGGCACUUUGGGAGGCCAAGGCAGGCAGAUCGCUUAAGGUCAGGAGUUUAAGACCAGCCUGGCCAACAUGGUGAAAGCCUGUCUCUACUAAAAAUAUAAAAACUUACCCAGGUCAGGUAGUGCAUACCUGUAAUCCCAGCUACUCGGGAGGCUGAGGUGGGAAGAUCACUUGAAACCGGAAGGCAGAGGUUGCAGUGAGCAGAGAUGGCACCAUUGCACUCCAGCCUGGGCGAUGAGUGAGACUUCAUCUCAAAAAAGACAAAACCACGGGACUGAACUGAAGUGAAUGUGAUCUUGACAAGAGGUCAGAUCAUUCUCUCUGGUGAGAAAUAUCUCUGGGUAAAGUGAACAUAAAAUAAAGGCCACAACCAGCAUCAAGGUGUGUCAGAAACCCAUUCAUUUGACUUUAAACAGGCUGCUUUUUAAAAAAUCUUUUUUUUUCCAACCAGCCAAACAGAGAGGAAGUUCAACUAUGAACGAGAUUACAAAAUCGUCUGAAGCUGUAACAGUGAAAACUACUUCAGGGAAGAAAAAGAAUAACAAAGGUAUUUUUGUUGUUUCAACUAUUCCUUCCACUUCCCUCAUCUUCUAAGUCACUUCCUCCUUUCAGGAGCUGUGUGUUCCAAUACUAAGUAGUUGCACCAAACAGAGAAAAACACAAGUGGAGAAAAAAAGAACACUCAGUGUCUUGUGACUUUCAUGUAAACCAAACACCAAAUGGCUUUGCCACAGCCAUUAGAGGAAUUCAUCCUUGACAGGUUCAACAUUCCCCCUAAAAAAUAGUAAUGGGGCCUAAGCUGGUUUGGGAGUAAUCUCAGCAAUGAACAGCCUGUGGGAUCUGGGCAGUUCAGCUCACAGACUUUCAUCCUAUGACUCUUGCUUAGAAUCAGCAACUGUGUAAUCCAGAAGGAAUUUUAAGAAAUCAGCGACUCUAUAACCUCUGAACUGGGUUAGACUAAAUAAGAAGCUAAGUAUUAAAGAUGGCAGCUAAGUGUUAGGCACCCGGAUUCUAUUCCUGACACUUCCACUCACGCAUGGCUCUCAGAAUCCUCUUCUGCAAAAGGAGAACUUUUCACUCAUGGGAUCCUAAAUUCCACCCCAGCUUUACCAUUCUGAAAUUCUAAAGAGACGUUGUAAGAUUUUCACCGCAUGGUCGUGAACACAGUCUUUGGGAAACUGCUUGUGGAGGC